GAUGAACGCUGGCGGCGUGCCUAAUACAUGCAUGUCGAGCGAACUGAUUAGAAGCUUGCUUCUAUGACGUUAGCGGCGGACGGGUGAGUAACACGUGGGCAACCUGCCUGUAAGACUGGGAUAACUUCGGGAAACCGAAGCUAAUACCGGAUAGAAUCUUCUCCUUCAUGGGAGAUGAUUGAAAGAUGGUUUCGGCCAUCACUUACAGAUGGGCCCGCGGUGCAUUAGCUAGUUGGUGAGGUAACGGCUCACCAAGGCAACGAUGCAUAGCCGACCUGAGAGGGUGAUCGGCCACACUGGGACUGAGACACGGCCCAGACUCCUACGGGAGGCAGCAGUAGGGAAUCUUCCGCAAUGGACGAAAGUCUGACGGAGCAACGCCGCGUGAGUGAUGAAGGCUUUCGGGUCGUAAAACUCUGUUGUUAGGGGAGAACAAGUACGAGAGUAACUGCUCGUACCUUGACGGUACCUAACCAGAAAGCCACGGCUAACUACGUGCCAGCCGCCGCGGUAA
rnacentral:rRNA from 1 species